rnacentral:rRNA from 1 species
AGUGAACGCUGGCGGCGUGCUUAACACAUGCAAGUCUACCAAGAAUCGCUUCGGUGAGGAAUGGUGGCGGACGGGUGAGUAACGCGUAAAUAAUCUGCCCUUUAGACUGGGAUAUCCUUUGGAAACGAAGGUUAAUACCGGAUAUUAUGAGAUGGACGCAUGUUCAACUUAUGAAAGCUAAAUGCACUAGAGGAGGAGUUUGCGUCCCAUUAGCUAGUUGGUGAGGUAAAGGCUCACCAAGGCCACGAUGGGUAGCCGGCCUGAGAGGGUGAACGGCCACAAGGGAACUGAGACACGGUCCUUACUCCUACGGGAGGCAGCAGUGGGGAAUAUUGGACAAUGGACCAAAAGUCUGAUCCAGCAAUUCUGUGUGCACGAUGAAGGUCUUCGGAUUGUAAAGUGCUUUCAGUAGGGAAGAAAAAAAUGACGGUACCUACAGAAGAAGCGACGGCUAAAUAUGUGCCAGCAGCCGCCGCGG